AGGGUUUGAUCAUGGCUCAGAAUCAACGCUGGCGGCGUGCCUAACACAUGCAAGUCGAACGGGAAGGGGGGCUUCGGCUCCCCGGAGAGUGGCGCACGGGUGAGUAACACGUGGGUAAUCUGCCUUUGGGUGGGGAAUAACGAUCCGAAAGGGUCGCUAAUACCGCAUAACGCAGCGGCACCGCAUGGUGACAGUUGUUAAAGGGGGGGAUCUUCGGACCUCUCGCCUGAAGAGGAGCCCGCGCCCGAUUAGCUCGUUGGUGGGGUAACGGCCUACCAAGGCAACGAUCGGUAGCCGGCCUGAGAGGGCGGUCGGCCACACUGGCACUGAGACACGGGCCAGACUCCUACGGGAGGCAGCAGUGGGGAAUUUUGGGCAAUGGGCGAAAGCCUGACCCAGCAACGCCGCGUGAAGGACGAAAUCCCUCCGGGAUGUAAACUUCGAAAGUCAGGAAAGAAAUCGAGCAGGAUAAUACCCUGCUCGGAUGACGGUACCUGACGUAAGCCCCGGCUAACUACGUGCCAGCAGCCGCGGUAAUACGUAGGGGGCAAGCGUUGUUCGGAAUUACUGGGCGUAAAGGGCGCGUAGGCGGCACGGCAAGUCGGGAGUGAAAGGCCUGGGCUCAACCGAGGAACUGCUUUCGAGACUGCCGAGCUAGAGUGCGGAAGGGGCAUCUGGAAUUCCCAGUGUAGCGGUGAAAUGCGUAGAUAUUGGGAAGAACACCUGAGGCGAAGGCGGGAUGCUGGGCCGACACUGACGCUGAUGCGCGAAAGCCAGGGGAGCAAACGGGAUUAGAUACCCCGGUAGUCCUGGCCCUAAACGAUGGAUACUUGGUGUGUGGGGUUCUUCGAGUCCCCGCGUGCCGGAGCUAACGCGGUAAGUAUCCCGCCUGGGGAGUACGGUCGCAAGGCUGAACUCAAAGGAAUUGACGGGGACCCGCACAAGCGGUG
rnacentral:rRNA from 1 species